GGGAAUCUUCCACAAUGGACGCAAGUCUGAUGGAGCAACGCCGCGUGAGUGAAGAAGGUUUUCGGAUCGUAAAGCUCUGUUGUUGGUGAAGAAGGAUAGAGGCAGUAACUGGUCUUUAUUUGACGGUAAUCAACCAGAAAGUCACGGCUAACUACGUGCCAGCAGCCGCGGUAAUACGUAGGUGGCAAGCGUUGUCCGGAUUUAUUGGGCGUAAAGCGAGCGCAGGCGGAAUGAUAAGUCUGAUGUGAAAGCCCACGGCUCAACCGUGGAACUGCAUCGGAAACUGUCAUUCUUGAGUGCAGAAGAGGAGAGUGGAAACUCCAUGUGUAGCGGUGGAAUGCGUAGAUAUAUGGAAGAACACCAGCGGCGAAGGCGGCUCUCUGGUCUGCAAACUGACGCUGAGGCUCGAAAGCAUGGGUAGCGAACAGGAUUAGAUACCCUGGUAGUCCAUGCC
rnacentral:rRNA from 1 species